rnacentral:rRNA from 1 species
GAUGAACGCUGGCGGCGUGCCUAAUACAUGCAAGUCGAGCGAACAGACGAGGAGCUUGCUCCUCUGACGUUAGCGGCGGACGGGUGAGGAACACGUGGAUAACCUACCUAUAAGACUGGGAUAACUUCGGGAAACCGGAGCUAAUACCGGAUAAUAUAUUGAACCGCAGGGUUCAAUAGUGAAAGAGGGAUUUGCUGUCACUUAUAGAGGGAUCCGCGCCGCAUUAGCUAGUUGGUAAGGUAACGGCUUACCAAGGCGACGAUGCGUAGCCGACCUGAGAGGGUGAUCGGCCACACUGGAACUGAGACACGGUCCAGACUCCUACGGGAGGCAGCAGUAGGGAAUCUUCCGCAAUGGGCGAAAGCCUGACGGAGCAACGCCGCGUGAGUGAUGAAGGUCUUCGGAUCGUAAAGCUCUGUUAUUAGGGAAGAACAAAUGUGUAAGUAACUAUGCACGUCUUGACGGUACCUACACAGAAAGCCCCGGCUAACUACGUG